rnacentral:rRNA from 1 species
GAGUUUGAUCCUGGCUCAGGAUGAACGCUGGCGGCGUGCCUAACACAUGCAAGUCGAACGGACUUAACAUGAAACCUAGUGAUUGUUAAGCUAGUGGCGGACGGGUGAGUAACGCGUGGAUAACCUGCCGUAUGCAGGGGGAUAACAGUUGGAAACAGCUGCUAAUACCGCAUAAGCGCACAGUGCCGCAUGGCACAGUGCGAAAAGAUUUAUCGGCAUACGAUGGAUUCGCGUCCGAUUAGCCAGUUGGCGGGGUAACGGCCCACCAAAGCGACGAUCGGUAGCCGGCCUGAGAGGGCGGACGGCCACAUUGGGACUGAGACACGGCCCAAACUCCUACGGGAGGCAGCAGUGGGGAAUAUUGCACAAUGGGGGAAACCCUGAUGCAGCGACGCCGCGUGAGUGAAGAAGCAUCUCGGUACGUAAAGCUCUAUCAGCAGGAAAGAAAAUGACGGUACCUGACUAAGAAGCCCCGGCUAACUACGUGCCAGCAGCCGCGGUAAUACGUAGGGGGCAAGCGUUAUCCGGAUUUACUGGGUGUAAAGGGAGCGUAGACGGCGCUGCAAGUCCGGAGUGAAAGCCCAUGGCUUAACCAUGGUACUGCUCUGGAAACUGUAGAGCUUGAGUGCGGGAGGGGCAGGCGGAAUUCCUAGUGUAGCGGUGAAAUGCGUAGAUAUUAGGAGG